CCUACGGGCGGCAGCAGUCGAGAAUCAUUCACAAUGGGGGAAACCCUGAUGGUGCGACGCCGCGUGGGGGAAUGAAGGUCUUCGGAUUGUAAACCCCUGUCAUGUGGGAGCAAAUUAAAAAGAUAGUACCACAAGAGGAAGAGACGGCUAACUCGGUGCCAGCAGCCGCGGGAAUACAGAGGUCUCAAGCGUUGUUCGGAAUAACUGGGCGUAAAGCGUGCGUAGGCUGUUUCGUAAGUCGUGUGUGAAAGGCGCGGGCUCAACCCGCGGACGGCACAUGAUACUGCGAGACUAGAGUAAUGGAGGGGGAACCGGAAUUCUCGGUGUAGCAGUGAAAUGCGUAGAUAUCGAGAGGAACACUCGUGGCGAAGGCGGGUUCCUGGACAUUAACUGACGCUGAGGCACGAAGGCCAGGGGAGCGAAAGGGAUUAGAUACCCUUGUAGUC
rnacentral:rRNA from 1 species